rnacentral:rRNA from 1 species
GAUGAACGCUGGCGGCGUGCCUAAUACAUGCAAGUCGAGCGAACGGACGAGAAGCUUGCUUUUCUGAUGUUAGCGGCGGACGGGUGAGUAACACGUGGAUAACCUACCUAUAAGACUGGGAUAACUUCGGGAAACCGGAGCUAAUACCGGAUAAUAUAUUGAACCGCAUGGUUCAAAAGUGAAAGACGGUCUUGCUGUCACUUAUAGAUGGAUCCGCGCCGCAUUAGCUAGUUGGUAAGGUAACGGCUUACCAAGGCAACGAUGCAUAGCCGACCUGAGAGGGUGAUCGGCCACCCUGGAACUGAGACACGGUCCAGACUCCUACGGGAGGCAGCAGUAGGGAAUCUUCCGCAAUGGGCGAAAGCCUGACGGAGCAACGCCGCGUGAGUGAUGAAGGUCUUCGGAUCGUAAAACUCUGUUAUUAGGGAAGAACAUAUGUGUAAGUAACUAUGCACGUCUUGACGGUACCUAAUCAGAAAGCCACGGCUAACUACGU